AAACUUGGCAUAAUUUGACUGACGCAAGCUGUAUGCAUUGUAAUUCACUGAUCCAAAACUUAGAACCACAGAGAGUCAUCCACGCACGCUUAGAGCUGUCCGCCCGCCGGCGGACUCACUCAGCUCAGACGUCAGGUCGAUGCCAAACCACUUCUAAACACCACGAAACGGAUAAGCCUGAAGUUUCUGAAAGACUGAGACUAAACCCCAAUACGAAAAAGAAAACCCUUAUAAAUUAGAAAAAAAUAAAAUCUUUUUGAUUUUAUUUUUUUGUUGAUGAAUUCUGAGAAUCCAUUUGUGAUGAGACUCUGAGUGACCAAACCAACUGCUCAAAAUUCUUUGUUUUUUGUUUUUUUUUCUGAGUCUGCAUGAGAGGGAAGGAACACAUUUGGUACUCUUUCAAGCCAGAGCACUUGGAGAAACAACCAUGGUUGCUAUGGUCAACAUCAGCCACUCACACUCACACCCUUUCAGUUCGUUCCAAUUUUCGUUUCGCCAAGUUUCUCUAUCGGCGCCUCCUUCUCAAGUUCGCCAUCGCUUCGCUCCUCGCCAACGGUUGAAUUUUCAGCCGUACAGUUCCUGCAGGUUUGACAGUUUAGUUUCAAGGUGUUCAAUAACAAACACCAAUGUACAGUUUGACCAGGUUGCUGCUGAGGAUGAGAUCCAAGAAGAUUUUUCAGCUGUUGAAUCUAACUCUUCGGUCCCGAUUGUUCGUCUCAAUUCUGAUAUUCUUGAAACUGAAUCAUUGAACUUACUGACCGAAGGGGCUUAUGUAGAUAGUCUAUUGACAAAAUUGCCAGUUUUAUCAGAGGAGGAGCAAAAUGCCCUUGCCGCAAUUCCGGCCCAUCCAGCAGGAUUGUAUGCUUUAUACGCCAGCUGUGCUGCUGGGAAUUUAGUGGAACAGCUUUGGAACUUUGCUUGGCCUUCUGCAAUUGCAUUGCGCCAUCCAAGUCUUCUACCUGUGGCUGUCAUAGGAUUCUUCACUAAGCUUACAAUAAUUGGUGGAGGCCCUUUGGUUGGAAAGCUUAUGGAUCAUGCUCCCAGAGUGCCUUCAUAUAUUUGUCUUAAUGUUGUCCAGGCAGCUGCACAGUUGUUAUCUGCAUCAAUGAUUAUAUAUGCCUAUACUCGUCCUCGUACUUCUGCAUCAUCCAUACUUCUCCGUCCUUGGUUCAUUGUGCUAGUAUUAGCUGGGGCUGUUGAGAGGCUAUCUGGGUUGUCAUUAGGGGUUGCUAUGGAGCGUGAUUGGGUGGUGCUGUUAGCAGGAAUAAAUAGGCCAAUUGCACUUGCUGAAGCUAAUGCUGUUCUAAGUCGAAUUGAUCUUCUCUGUGAGGUAGCUGGGGCAUCUCUGUUUGGUAUCCUUCUCUCUAAGUUUGAUCCAGUGACUUGCUUGAAGUUUGCUGCUGGUUUGAUGUUAUGUUCAUUGCCUGUUGUGGUUUUUCUGACAUGGUUAACCAACAAGCUCUCUACCGGCGUUCUUGAUCGUAAUAAAACUUCACAAACCUAUUGCAAAACAUCCAAUGGGGAACCUUUUCCUGAUGAUGACAAUAAAGUGGAUAUAGGUCUUGAAGCUAUUAAACAUGGGUGGAAGGAAUACAUGCAGCAGCCAGUUCUUCCUGCAAGCCUAGCAUAUGUGCUUCUCUACUUCAAUGUCGUUCUCACUCCAGGCAGUUUGAUGACUGCAUUCUUAACUCAGCAUGGUCUAAAUCCAUCAAUCAUUGGGGGAUUUAGUGGGUUAUGUGCUUUUAUGGGUGUUGCAGCAACAUUUAUAUCUGCGGAUUUAGUGAGGCGAUUUGGCAUUUUAAAGGCUGGAGGAAUUGGAUUGAUAUUUCAGGCUUCACUUCUCACCAUAGCUCUUGCUGUGUAUUGGAGCGGAUCUCUCAUCCAGCAGAGGCCCCUUCUUUUCUUCCUAUCUUUGAUUGUAAUUUCAAGAUUGGGUCACAUGUCAUAUGAUAUUGUGGGGGCGCAGAUUCUGCAAACUGGGAUUCCAUCAGGAAAAGCAAAUCUUAUUGGGACAACAGAGGUUGCAGUUGCUAGUUUGGCAGAGUCUGUAAUGUUGGGAGUUGCGAUAGUAGCAAACAAUGUUUCACAUUUUGGUUUCCUUGCACUGCUGUCACUUUUAUCAGUGGUUGGGGCAGCAUGCAUAUUCUGCCGAUGGUUGUUGAAUCCAACGGAUGAACAAAGAAGUCUUUUCUCUUUUGACCCUCAGUUUUAGUUCUCAUUGCCCUGCAACUAUUUUUGGAUGAAAACUCCUCUUAUUCUUCUAAGGUCAAGGUGUCGAGAUAUUGCUGACUGUUAAGACCAUAAGAUGAAUCUUAGAGCUGCCCCUAAAUCUCAAGGCUGCCUUUGCACCAUUACUACAGAGGAGUUAAGCAGUUGAUCCAUCACUUUCCUUGGUGCAAAGGCUGUUUUGACAUAAAUUGGAGUCCAACCAGGUAUGUAAAUAUACCUAUUACAAAGUCCACAAUGAUCAAUAUAGAAGACUCAAGGCUAUAUAUUCUUGAUCUGCUCAGUUGGUCACACUAUUCAUGAGGUCAAAUCGGAUUGGCGUGAUGAAAUAGAUAACAAAGUUUCAAAAAGGUUUUAAAGUUUCAUCGGUGUAGGCCGCAGCUGUACAAACAUUUUUAAAGAAUUGAUUCAUUGUAGUUUAUUUUACUUGCUAUAAAACAUUUGAUUUGGACGUU